rnacentral:rRNA from 1 species
CCCUUAGAUGUUCUGGGCCGCACGCGUGCUACACUGAGUGGAUCAGCGGGUCAGGUUGCGCGAAAGUGUUUCCUAAUCUUUAAAUCCGCUCGUGAUGGGGAUUGACGGUUGCAAUUUUCCGUCAUGAACGAGGAAUACCUUGUAAGCGCGGGUCAUCAUCCCGCGCUGAAUACGUCCCUGCCCUUUGUACACACCGCCCGUCGCUCCUACCGAUUGAGUGGUCCGGUGAGGCUUUGGGAUCUGGGCGGAAAGAGCGUUUCGCUGUUUCUGCCCGGAAAACUCAGUCGAACCUUAUCAUUUAGAGGAAGGAGAAGUCGUAGCA